rnacentral:lncRNA from 1 species
AGAUUUUACCAUCACCUGUCCAGGCUUGGCCGGAGGACCGCCUGUUUUUAAGAUGCUCACCACAAUGCAAAGAUGAAGAAGAUGAUGAUGAUGAUCUUGAUGCCCACAUAACAGCUCAGAAAGAAAACGGUAGGUACCAUGAGAUAACUCACUUCCCGAGGGAAAAACUUGCUAGCUUCAGUGUAUAGAAACCUGAUUCUGGGUUCCUGCUGGGAAAGAGGCUUGGGGUUCUCGUGAAAGUGAUUCUGCCAGUGUAGAACUCUGACCCGAGAAGCUGUAGGAAGGUUUGUCGACCCAGAAGAAAGAUUAGGGGAUCAUGUAUGAAGCAGCGUGGGUGGGAGAAUAGCCCAUCACUCAGCUUCAGCUGAAGUAGGAGGAG